CCUACGGGUGGCAGCAGUGGGGAAUAUUGGGCAAUGGACGCAAGUCUGACCCAGCAACGCCGCGUGAAUGAUGAAGGCCUUCGGAUUGUAAAGUUCUGUGAUGGGGGAUGAACACAAUGACGGUACCCCAAUAGCAAGCCACGGCUAACUACGGGCCAGCAGCCGCGGUAAUACGGAGGUGGCAAGCGUUAUCCGGAUUGACUGGGCGUAAGGGGUGCGUAGGUGGUUUAGUAAGUUGGCGGUGAAAUUCCGGGGCUCAACCUCGGCGCUACCGCCAAAACUAUUAGACUAGAGUGCAGGAGGGGUAAGUGGAAUGCCUAGUGUAGCGGUGGAAUGCGUAGAUAUUAGGAAGAACACCAGGGGCGAAGGCGACUUACUGGACUGUAACUGACACUGAGGCACGAAAGCGUGGGGAGCAAACAGGAUUAGAUACCCCUGUAGUC
rnacentral:rRNA from 1 species